UAUGCUUUGCUUAACUGCUGGUGGUACAGGUUUUACACGGGCUUUGAUGUGUUCAAAAAGUCUGUAGUGACCAGUGUUCAGGCCUGGUCAUUUCUCCCUUCAAAGAGAGAAACAGAUUUUCAGCAACGUGGGAAAAGAAGCCUCUCCAGCCUGUCGGGGUCAGAUCUAUGAGGGCAGCACUCACUGGUGCUGGUCUCAUCCAAGUAAAUGCCCAGAGGCUGGCCACACACGGCUCCAUCAAAGCCUCUGAAGCUUAAAACAACUGCACAGAACACAGUAGAGAAGAAGCUGAGACGGUACCAUACUGAUUAGUACAGGAAACUUCAAUACAGCAGGUCUGCGGCAGUGUCUUUAUUCAGCUUGGGUUAAUCAAAUGGAUCCUUUCCCCCCUCUGCAAAUGAGGGAAGUUCAGUUUUAGAGCUCAUACUUUUCCUUUAAGAAUAGCAAGUUCCGGAGUUGAUACCAAAUUGGUGACGAAAGGGUGAUUAAUAGUUUUUAAAUGUUUA